rnacentral:rRNA from 1 species
UCAGGUGGCUAUUGCGGCGGGGUUCCACCUCUUCCCAUCCCGAACAGAGAAGUUAAGCCCGCCUACGCCGAUGGUACUGCCUUAGCGGGUGGGAGAGUAGGUAGCUGCCGUCU